UCUUCCGCAAUGGACGAAAGUCUGACGGAGCAACGCCGCGUGAGUGAUGAAGGUCUUCGGAUCGUAAAACUCAGUUGUUAGGGAAGAACAAGUACCGUUCGAAUAGGGAGGUACCUUUACGGUACCUAACCAGCAAGCAUCGGCUAACUACGUUCCAGCAGCCGCGGUAAUACGUAGGUGGCAAGCGUUGUCCGGAAUUAUUGGGCGUAAAGCGCGCGCAGGCGGUUUCUUAAGUCUGAUGUGAAAGCCCCCGGCUCAACCGGGGAGGGUCAUUGGAAACUGGGGAACUUGAGUGCAGAAGAGGAGAGCGGAAUUCCACGUGUAGCGGUGAAAUGCGUAGAGAUGUGGAGGAACACCAGUGGCGAAGGCGACUCUCUGGUCUGUAACUGACGCUGAGGCGCGAAAGCGUGGGGAGCGAACAGG
rnacentral:rRNA from 1 species